GCAGAAAUGAAAAUGGAUAUUGUUUAUUUCAAAAUUUUGCUUUUGAUAACAGGUAGGAUUCAUCAUUUCUAUGAGAGAGAAAAACAAUGACUCCAUGUGAUCAUGUGAUCAUAAUAUCUCAGAAAGAUAUUAUAGGAGAAAGAUAAACGAUCGAAAUAUAGAUUCCACCACUGCAAAAAGUAUAUUACGAUAUUUUUCGACUUGAGACAGUUAAAUUUAAAUAUGCAAAGCGCGAGUCUUGUCGAGCUAUUUAAAUAAUUAAAAUUUAACUGUUGAAAUUGGGAAAAUAUCGUAAUACACGAGUUAUAGUGGUGGAAUCGGUUUCUGUAAUGACUUUUCUCCUUCCUUUUCCAAGAUUUGUCGAAAGUUGUGUUCUUUAUAUGUGACGUCAUCAGGCAAUGCCGCCUUUUUCGUGACGUCAUAAUUAAAGAUUCAGUAGACAUUUGGCGUCAUAAUUAAAUUCCGACCAAUCAUUUUCCGAAAACAGAUAUUUUACUGGUAAGGAGAAAUACUGUUCUCACAUAGAUCCAGAAAUUUGAUAAUAUCUCAAAAACUAGAGAAAUUGAUUCCAUUUAUGAAUUGUUUAAAUUACUACAUUUCCUAAAUGAGGUUCUAGAUGGGGUUUACAGACUAAGAAAUAAUAGACAAAACAAAAAGUAAAAAAUAAAGAAAAAUGAACAUAAAAAAAAAGAAUUGAAAAUAAAAUGGGAUGAGAAAUACAAAAAAUAAACGAUGAUGGGCAUUAAAUAAAAAGGAUAAAGAAAAAUGGCGUUGAAAACUAAGAAAACAGAAAUAAAGGAUCCCAGCUACCUCUUAUAUGUAAUUUUCAAUGGAAACCGGUAUUUGAUAUUGUUACAACUUAAAGAAACAUGUGAUGUAAAAAAAAGUCUUAUGUAGACAAAACGCGCGUCUGGCGUAAUUAAUUAUAGCCUCGUACCUAUUUACACCAGUGGGUUGAUUCCACCGCUGCUUGACGUUUCGAAGUCAAGUAGUCAGCAUUUCGGUGUUGAAAUGUAUAUCAAUUAUAUGGUCAUUUCUAUAAAUGUACCAUUUGCAAAAAGUAUGAAUUAUUCGAAAUACUAAGGAUUUCUUAUCUCAGGCAUAGAUAACAGAAGCCGUAUUUGGCAUUUUUUGGGAAAUUUUGGUGCACCAAAGCUCUUCAACUUUGUACUUCCUUAGCUUUCUAACUUUUGAUCUGAGCGUCACUUAUGAGUCUAACGAAACGCACGUCUGGCGUAUUAAAUUAUAAGCCUGGUAUCUUUGAUAAUUAUUAACUGCUGUUUGUCAAUAAACCCAGCGAAACUUAAUUACUCAUUAUAUAUCCUUUAGGUAUACCGGUAUCACAGACGCCUGGGUAUAUUAACAUGACUUGAAUUUUUGUUUCUUUCUUUGGCAAUUUUCUUUUGUAUUAACAAUUUAUCUUAUUUGUCUUCACUUAUUUUUUUAUGAAUUUGUUCCUUUUGAUAAAUCCCUUAUUAAAAAAAGUUAGUAUUUUUUAACGGAAUAAAGGGUAUAUAUACUAUUUAUUCCAACAGAAACAUGUUUUUUAAAUUGUUUACAACAAAAUUACCAACGCAGCUUCAGUUAUGAGGAACACAUAAUUAUAGGAAAACAAGUGUGGUUGCAUCUACCGACCUAUCACAGAGUUGUUGCAAGGUUUCUUAAAAUGCAGUGAGCAUGCCAGUUUCUUUACCCAAGGCAUCGGAUUUGACUUUCUUAUUCAGAUCAAAUGUGGCUGUGUAUGUAUGCAUCCCGAAUUUCACGAGGGGUUUCUCUCAAAACAAAUCAAUGGCUAAUAUAUUUUUAUGCCUAAGUCACACAUGGAGAGAAGGCAAUUUGGAUUUUGAAGUAUCGUCGUAAAGAAAAAAUCUAGAUUGCAAUAUCCUCUCCGAAACUGUAAAAAAUAAGAUUUUAUUAACCUACAAAAUACUUUCUUUAUUCAAGCAUGUUGAUGUCAAUUUGCACCGAACUUGAAUUUAAAAAUCGAAAAUGUUUAAGAAAAAAAUCAAAAUCAAAAUAUCCAAAGUCAAUAGGCUAUUUGCCAAUUCCCGUAAUUGACCCUAUUAUUAGAGACCUUUAUUUUUGUUGUAUCCCUUUAUGAGGGACAUUAAUUUUUAUGUACAAUGGAGAGCUAGCAGAAAGAGCAAAUUUACCUGUGCGUAAUGUGAGUAAUCUAUAAGGUUUUUUAAUCUUUUAAUUACAUUAAUUUGUUGUUAGGCUAAAUACUUUUGACAACAGAAAUUAUUUUUCAUGAAAAAUUAGUUUAACCGCCGAUACAUCACAUUCAAUUCAUCAUGCUUUGCAUUGGCAAAAGCCAAUUUUGUCCGGUAUGGAACCAGUUUACGAUUGACAAAGGGAAGUUAUUUGUUUAAAAAGUGUGUAAUAAUAGAAUCAAAUCGGUAAUUGGCAAAUGGACUAUUAAACUAUCGAUUAUAUUUCCUUCUUUAUUGAAUCCUUUAUUACGAUCAUUUAAAGUUAUUUAAAAAGGUUUGCAUUUGCUGUCCUUUUACUGGGUCUUGUUACCGCACUUCAUUCUGGUCGACCCGUAGUACUAAACUUAUCAUUAAUUUUGUAUGUAUUGAUAAUUUGAUCCUGAUCAUGCCUGAAAUAAUGGCCACUGGUUGUAAUUAAACUACCUUUACGUCUCUGUUGUUGAAAACAUAACAUGUUUACCAAUUAGUUUGCUCUCGCAUAGGAAGUGGGAAAUUUUCUACCUGACUGAAAAGAUAGCUGAGUAAGGUAGUCAUUGAUUGGGAAAUCAACACAUGUUUAGAAUAGAAUCAUCAUUUAGGAAGACAAUGAGUGCCUUUGUAAGGUAUAUACUGUCAAAGAAACAGUUUUAAUUAUAUUUCAUUUAAAAAAGAGUAGGUAGGUUUACAAAAUUUCAACUUUAAUGACUAUAGGAUUGUUCAGUAUACUGAUAUGAAGCUAUUGUACAAUACUAGAAAUAAAAAAAACAAAUAUUGAUGUCUGAUUAUGAAAAGGUUUUUCUGCUAACUGAGUCUUUGAGCGGUGAGGGCGUUGAACUAUUUGAAAAAGACCGAACAAUUCAGCACAAGUGGUUUGCACUAAUGUCACUCUUUCUUAAAUAUUGUUGCCCAUAUGUUAUAUAUAGACUUAUUUCUGUGUCAUUUAGUCUCUUGUGGAAAGUUGGCUCAUUGGCAAUCAUACCACAUCUCCUUCUUUAUAUAAACUGAUGCUUUUCUUUAAAUGGUGACAUUAUACUGCUACAACUCCCAUUUUCAAAAAUCCAAUUUAAUAAGAAAUUUGAGUUGAGUUAUAGCACCGUUAUUAUUUUUUAUUGCUAGAGUUAUAACAGAAAAAAAUGACCUAGCUUGCAUAAUUUUUUUCCACAAUUUGAAAAGAACCUUUAAUUUGCCUUUCUAUUAUAGCAAAAACUACAUUUUUAAAAAUAUUUCGAUGUCAGAAUGUCGAACUUUUUUAUGUCAAAACAACAAUAAGGUGUAAGUCCAAUGGAGAGACGAAAUAUUGGGCUGCGCUGAAGGCACACGAUAAAUCUUAUGUUUCCAGACUUGGGAAGACACAUAAGUAAUGUUGCUAGGUUAAUAGAUAUAUGAAAAUGUGGUGUGAGUGCCAAUGAGACAACUCUCCAUCCAAAUAACAAUUUAAAAAUUAAACCAUUAUAGGUUAAAGUACGGCCUUCAACACGGAGCCUUGGCUCACACCGAACAACAAGCUAUAAAGGGCCCCAAAAUUACUAGUGUAAAACCAUUCAAACGGGAAAACCAACGGUCUAAUCUAUAUAAACAAAACGAGAAACGAAAAACACGUAUAUAUUACAUAAACAAACGACAACUACUGUACAUCAGAUCCCGGACUUAGGACAGGUGCAAACAUUUGCAGCGGGAUUAAACGUUUUAAUGGAUCCAAACCUUCUCCCUUUUUCUGAAACAAUAGCAUAACAUCACAACAUAGAAAAACAUACGAUAAAUUAUCAAUUGGCAGACUUAACUCAAUCAAAAAACGUAUGAUUACACAAUGAAGCAUAUUUGUGAAUGCUUUUAAACCAACCAUGAUAAUUAAGAAGAUUAAUUUGCUUAAGAAAUACUGUAAAGUGAGAUGAACUUUAUAUUUCUUUUAUACCUAAAAAUAAAAUUACAAAAACUCCGACGAAAUUCAAAAAGGAAAGUCCCUUAUUAAAUGGCAAAAACAAAAGCCCAAACACAUCAAACGAAUGGAUUACAUUUGUCAUAUUCCUGACUUGGUACAGGGAUUUUCAUAUGUAGAAAAUGGUAGAUUGAACCUGGUUUUAUAGCUAGCUAAACCUCUCACUUUAUAACCGAUUUUAACAAGUAUAUAUACGUUACAGAUGGUGUUUAAUUUUGAUUAAGAAUGGCCACAAUCGAUGUAUUUAAUCCAAUAACUAGUAAAUAUAGAAUAUAUGUCAAACACAUUGUUUGCAGACUGAAGCAAGUCGCUUUAAUAAUGUAAACAGAAAUUAAAGAUAUAGAACAAUGUGUAACGAUAGAUUUAUCCGAAUAUAAAAGAAUAUAGAGAUUUAAGGAAACAUAUUAGAUUAUUGCUUUUGUUUUUUGAAUUUCAGUUCUACCGUCCUUAUCAGCAAGACGAUAUAGAGUAAGAACAUCAGUGGGAACGUAUUAUUCCGGAUCUAGUUCUAGCGGUACUAGCAAAAUGUAAGUAAACUUCAAUUGUUUGAAGUCAUUUGAUUUAGUUUUUCAAUUAAAACAAUUUAAAACUAAAGUUGAUAAAACUACACCGACCUAACACCUAAUUAAUUGACUUAUUAUUGAUGCUUUCGUUGUCCGUGCACGGUCAUCACAAUGCCGAUUUUAAUUCAACCUUGUCUAUUGACAAUCGUUUUUAAAUGCAAUGGUUGAAAUUAUUAAGAAACGUGUUUGAUGAUAUUCCCGUAUUUUGACAGAUCAGUUUCUAUCAUAGUUACUCAGAUAAGCUUGUUCGUCUGUUGGUCAUUUUUCUCUUUAUUGCCAAGGUGCUGUCAGUUUUCCCUGAGAUAACUAACAACAGAAUGACAUGUCAUGAUACCCAGACAUAUCAUUCCGAAACCUGAUCCCUCCAUCUUUGUAAUGUCGCAAAUACCUAUUUUCAAGAUGGUAUCCGGUUGGAUAGAAACAUAAAGCUCUGUAGUUCAUUCGACCAUUGAGUUUGUGAGUCUUUCCUGAAACUGUAUUUUGCGAUUGACGUUCAAAUUCCCCAUUCUUAUAUCCUCUAUUAAUAUUUGAAUUUGGCCUAUUCUAACAAGCUCAAAUGAACUUUGUUUUGAUAAUUGUUUGACAAAUUGAUAUAUUGAUAUGCAUCCUUUCUGCAUUGAACAUUUUCAAACAACACCAAAACAAGAUAUAAGCGCUUCAAAAACUUUUCCUCUUUAACACAUAGUCGAUAAUAUUAAACGUAGUUUCAUAAAAUAAACGGGCAUAUUUGAAAGCUUUUGUUUAUCGUUUUUAUUCUAUGGUCACCAUGUCAAAAUGUACUAUUGUAUUGUUUAUUUGUAUAUUUCGCAAUCCUGAAUGUUAUUUGCAUUUAUUUCUUUUACAUUUCUGUCAUUUUAGUGUUCUAUUUAACCUUACUAUAAAAGUGCGAGGUAUUGCUAGUCACAAAACUAAGUUCAACCUACCGUUUUUCUUAACAUUUUCUGUACCAAGUCAGGAAAAUGCCAGUUGUUCUCUUAAAGUUAGUUUCUGUGUGUGUGUUGCAUUGUAGUUGGUUUUUGUUCAAUUCAGUGUUUUUAUUGUUUCGUUGUUUUCCUCUAUAGUUGAUGUGUUACCCUCGGUUUUAGUUUGUAACCCAGAUUUGUUUUUAUCUCAAUCAAUUUAUGACUUUUGGGUCGCUUGAUAAGUUGAACUUUAACAUUAAUCGAUUUUUGUUUAUUGUAGCAAUGUAUGGAUUUAUGUAUGGAUAGCAGUUCUGAUCAUCGGUUUUGUAGUAAGUUUGGGAAAGUUUUGCUGUAAAAAAAGACGAGACCAGGCAGAGAAAUCGCAGAAACGUGAUGUUUCCCCUGUUUAUAUCACCGAAUACGGUAAACUGAAUUAUUUAAAAUGAGAGACUAUAGUAAGGGUUACUGAAUUGGAAACUUACAGAACUGAUGGUCAACAUUACUUGUUUCUGAUUGUAUGGAAAACAAAGGCAAAACAAAUAUAGUGUUCAAAACUUUAUUCGUCCUAUGCGCUUUAUGUGCCUUGCGGUUAGAAAUUUUUUGAGUAAAAACCUUAACCAAUUAAAAUGCCCUGAACUCACUUUUAUCAGAAAUUCUCAAUACAAAAGAUAACGAUGUAAUGUUACUUUUAAAAUAGUUAUCAAAAGUACCAGGAUUAUAAUUUUAUACGCCAGACGCGCGUUUCGUCUACAUAAGACUCAUCAGUGACGCUCAGAUCAAAAUAGUUUGAAAGCCAAACAAAUACAAAGUUGAAGAGCAUUGAGGACCCAAAAUUCCAAAAAGUUGUGCCAAAUACGGCUAAGGUUAUCUACUCCUGGGGUAAGAAAAUCCUUAGUUUUUCGAAAAAUUCAAAGUUUUGUACACAGAAAAUUUAUAAAAAUGACCAUAUAAUUGAUAUUCAUGUCAACACCGAAGUGCUGACUACUGGGCUGGUGAUACCCUCGGGGACGAAACGUCCACCAGAAGUGGCAUCGACCCAGUGGUGUAAAUAGUUAUCAAAAGUACAAGGAUUAUAAUUUUAUACGCCAGACGCGCGUUUCGUCUACAUAAGACUCAUCAGUGACGCUCAGAUCAAAAUAGUUUGAAAGCCAAACAAAUACAAGUUGAAGAGCAUUGAGGACCCAAAAUUCCAAAAAGUUGUGCCAAAUACGGCUAAGGUUAUCUACUCCUGGGGUAAGAAAAUCCUUAGUUUUUCGAAAAAUUCAAAGUUUUGUACACAGAAAAUUUAUAAAAAUGACCAUAUAAGUAUCUAUUUGAUCGAAGGCAACCUUAAAAAAAAUUAGACCUCAAUAUUAUGUAAAGGAACAGUAAAUAAAUGUUAGUUUAUUAAAGAAAAGGCGCGAAAAAUACCAGAGGACCAUUCAAACUCAUAGAUCCAAAAUACACUAACAACGCGAUUGCUAAAAAAGACAAACAGUCAAAUAAUAUAUAGUACACAAGACACAACAAAGGAAACUAGAGACUAAGCAACACGAACCCCACCAAAACAUGGGGUGAUCUUAGGUUCGUAGGGAGGGUUAGCAGAUCCUGCUCUACAUGUGGCACCCGUCGUGUUGCUCAUAUCAUUACAACCCCGGUAAAUAGGACACUUUGGUAGGUUACAUUCGUGAAAAGGGAACGGGAUUGUAGUUGUGAUAUAAGGAACAUAUCUGAUAUCAUCUGUAAAACGAAUAUUCCAUUUAUCAUUUAGUUUAUUAAUUAUGUGUGUGCUGAAAUCUUACUUGGUGAUUCACUCUAAAUUGUCCGCAAGCAGAGGUAUUGACUUAUUGCUAGAUAUUUCUGAUUAUAAUUCUUCAAACAUUGAAUGCGUCUUAAUCUCUUUUCCGAAUCAGGAACGCUCAAUACCAAAAAAUUGAAAUCAAUCAAAGUAGGAAUACUUAGGACAUACACACAAAUUAUUUCACCGACUAAUAUAUAUAUAUAUAUAUUAACGGAAAAACUAAGAAGUGUACGUUACAUGUCUUAUAAAUAGCCAAAAAAAAAUGACUAUUUGGCAAAACUUUGAUUCUGAUUCAGCAUUCUAAAAAUGAUAGCAUUUAAAACGACACAACUUUUGGACAAAACCAUCUGCAUUGAAAUUUGUCCGAAGUUAUCUUCUUUUGGGCAAUAAGGGUUUAAAUUAUGAACUCAUAUUGAGGACAAAAUAGAUGUACAGUUUUGGUUAAUACGUUUUUCAAUAUCGAAAAUUGUUCAGCGGCUACUAAUUACUACAUUAACUCAUAAAGCAGUGGCGGAUCCAGAGGGGGGGUUCCGGGGGUGCGCACCCCCCCUUUAUUUUUGCCGAUCAAUGCAUUUGUAUCGGGACAUAUGUUUUGCACCCCCCUUUGCCCUGGGUUAGCACCCCCCCCCCCCCUUUCGAAAAUUCCUGCAUCCGCCCCUGUAAAGCUACCGGUACCUUAGACCUUGUUAUAUACCUAAAGCUUAAUCAUUGUUAUACCGAAAUCAAAUCAAUGAAUUCAUGCAACAAUUAAGAGUUCUUCAAUAAAAAAAAAUUCUUGUUUUAUUUAUUGUUGUUUCAUAAUGUACAGUAUAUACGUGUCUAUUUUAAGCUAAUAUUGAUAUUGGUAGAUUUUUUUUCGAAAAUGUCAAUUCAUUAAUCUUGAAUAAGUUGCACUUUUCAUUUUAGAGGGAAAUCUGUGAAUUCAACCUGUCAAAGAAGAAAUGUUAGAAUUAACCUGUAAAUCACAAAGUACAGAAAAGACAAUUCCAUCAUUAUGUUACAAGUGUGUCGAAUCAAAAAAUUCUUUUUAAAGAAGCUAAAUGUCACCAUCAAUUAAUUACAAAGUAUAUUUAGUUGAAUAUAUAAGAUGCUGAAAAAAAUAGGUCUCCUGCUUAACAAAUAAGCUCUAAUAUAACAACAUGUAUAUAUCUAGCUAUAUAAAAAA
rnacentral:lncRNA from 1 species